AUUGAACGCUGGCGGCAGGCCUAACACAUGCAAGUCGAGCGGAUGAAGGGAGCUUGCUCCUGGAUUCAGCGGCGGACGGGUGAGUAAUGCCUAGGAAUCUGCCUGGUAGUGGGGGAUAACGUCCGGAAACGGGCGCUAAUACCGCAUACGUCCUGAGGGAGAAAGUGGGGGAUCUUCGGACCUCACGCUAUCAGAUGAGCCUAGGUCGGAUUAGCUAGUUGGUGGGGUAAAGGCCUACCAAGGCGACGAUCCGUAACUGGUCUGAGAGGAUGAUCAGUCACACUGGAACUGAGACACGGUCCAGACUCCUACGGGAGGCAGCAGUGGGGAAUAUUGGACAAUGGGCGAAAGCCUGAUCCAGCCAUGCCGCGUGUGUGAAGAAGGUCUUCGGAUUGUAAAGCACUUUAAGUUGGGAGGAAGGGCAGUAAGUUAAUACCUUGCUGUUUGGACGUUACCAACAGAAUAGCACCGGCUAACUUCGUG
rnacentral:rRNA from 1 species